GUGCCAGCGCCGGGUAAUACGUAGGUGGCGAGCGUUGUCCGGAAUUAUUGGGCGUAAAGGGUGCGUAGGCGGUUUUCUAAGUGAGAUGUGAAAUCCACGGGCUUAACCUGUGAAUUGCAUUUCAAACUGGAAGACUUGAGUGCAGGAGAGGAAAGCGGAAUUCCCAGUGUAGUAGUUACAUGCGUAGAUAGUGGGAGGAACACCAGUGGCGAAGGCGGCUUUCUGGACUG
rnacentral:rRNA from 1 species